rnacentral:rRNA from 1 species
GACGAACGCUGGCGGCGUGCUUAACACAUGCAAGUCGAACGGAAAGGCCCUGCUUUUGUGGGGUGCUCGAGUGGCGAACGGGUGAGUAACACGUGAGUAACCUGCCCUUGACUUUGGGAUAACUUCAGGAAACUGGGGCUAAUACCGGAUAGGAGCUCCUGCUGCAUGGUGGGGGUUGGAAAGUUUCGGCGGUUGGGGAUGGACUCGCGGCUUAUCAGCUUGUUGGUGGGGUAGUGGCUUACCAAGGCUUUGACGGGUAGCCGGCCUGAGAGGGUGACCGGCCACAUUGGGACUGAGAUACGGCCCAGACUCCUACGGGAGGCAGCAGUGGGGAAUAUUGCACAAUGGGCGGAAGCCUAAUGCAGCAACGCCGCGUGCGGGAUGACGGCCUUCGGGUUGUAAACCGCUUUCGCCUGUGACGAAGCGUGAGUGACGGUAAUGGGUAAAGAAGCACCGGCUAACUACGUGCCAGCAGCCGCGGUGAUACGUAGGGUGCGAGCGUUGUCCGGAUUUAUUGGGCGUAAAGGGCUCGUAGGUGGUUGAUCGCGUCGGAAGUGUAAUCUUGGGGCUUAACCCUGAGCGUGCUUUCGAUACGGGUUGACUUGAGGAAGGUAGGGGAGAAUGGAAUUCCUGGUGGAGCGGUGGAAUGCGCAGAUAUCAGGAGGAACACCAGUGGCGAAGGCGGUUCUCUGGGCCUUUCCUGACGCUGAGGAGCGAAAGCGUGGGGAGCGAACAGGCUUAGAUACCCUGGUAGUCCACGCUGUAAACGGUGGGUACUAGGUGUGGGGUCCAUUCCACGGGUUCCGUGCCGUAGCUAACGCUUUAAGUACCCCGCCUGGGGAGUACGGCCGCAAGGCUAAAACUCAAAGGAAUUGACGGGGCCCCGCACAAGCGGCGGAGCAUGCGGAUUAAUUCGAUGCAACGCGUAGAACCUUACCUGGGUUUGACAUGGAUCGGGAGCGCUCAGAGAUGGGUGUGCCUCUUUUGGGGUCGGUUCACAGGUGGUGCAUGGCUGUCGUCAGCUCGUGUCGUGAGAUGUUGGGUUAAGUCCCGCAACGAGCGCAACCCUUGUUCACUGUUGCCAGCACGUUAUGGUGGGGACUCAGUGGAGACCGCCGGGGUCAACUCGGAGGAAGGUGGGGAUGACGUCAAGUCAUCAUGCCCCUUAUGUCCAGGGCUUCACGCAUGCUACAAUGGCUGGUACAGAGAGUGGCGAGCCUGUGAGGGUGAGCGAAUCUCGGAAAGCCGGUCUCAGUUCGGAUUGGGGUCUGCAACUCGACCUCAUGAAGUCGGAGUCGCUAGUAAUCGCAGAUCAGCAACGCUGCGGUGAAUACGUUCCCGGGGCU